rnacentral:rRNA from 1 species
UACGGAGGGGGCGAGCGUUAUUCGGAAUUAUUGGGCGUAAAGGGCGCGUAGGCGGCUGUACAAGUCAAAGGUGAAAUCCCUCGGCUCAACUGAGGAACUGCCUUUGAAACUGUACGGCUUGAGGCCGGGAGGGGGUAGCGGAAUUCCCAGUGUAGCGGUGAAAUGCGUAGAUACUGGGAGGAACACCAGUGGCGAAGGCGGCUACCUGGACCGGUUCUGACGCUGAGGAGCGAAAGCGUGGGUAGCGAACAGG